AAUGAAGUUUUCGGAUGGAUUUUAAAUUGACUGAGUGGCGGAUGGGUGAGUAACGCGUGGGUAACCUGCCCCAUACAGGGGGAUAACAGUCAGAAAUGACUGCUAAUACCGCAUAAGACCACAGCACCGCAUGGUGCAGGGGUAAAAACUCCGGUGGUACAGGAUGGACCCGCGUCUGAUUAGCUAGUUGGCAGGGCAACGGCCUACCAAGGCGACGAUCAGUAGCCGACCUGAGAGGGUGACCGGCCACAUUGGGACUGAGACACGGCCCAAACUCC
rnacentral:rRNA from 1 species